UUAGCUCAUAUUUGUAUGGAAUGGGAUCGUUUGCGUACGUUUGCCGCUAGGGGCGCUAUUCCAAUUGCAUACAAAAUUGGCUUA
rnacentral:pre_miRNA from 1 species